rnacentral:rRNA from 1 species
ACGCUGGCGGCGUGCUUAACACAUGCAAGUCGAACGAAGAUAUUUAGAAUGAGAGCUUCGGCAGGAUUUUUAUCUAUCUUAGUGGCGGACGGGUGAGUAACGUGUGGGCAACCUGCCCUGUACUGUGGAAUAAUCAUUGGAAACGAUGACUAAUACCGCAUGUGGUCCUCGGAAGGCAUCUUCUGAGGAAGAAAGGAUUUAUUCGGUACAGGAUGGGCCCGCAUCUGAUUAGCUAGUUGGUGAGAUAACAGCCCACCAAGGCGACGAUCAGUAGCCGACCUGAGAGGGUGAUCGGCCACAUUGGGACUGAGACACGGCCCAAACUCCUACGGGAGGCAGCAGUGGGGAAUAUUGCACAAUGGGCGAAAGCCUGAUGCAGCAACGCCGCGUGAAGGAUGAAGGGUUUCGGCUCGUAAACUUCUAUCAAUAGGGAAGAAACAAAUGACGGUACCUAAAUAAGAAGCCCCGGCUAACUACGUGCCAGCAGCCGCGGUAAUACGUAGGGGGCAAGCGUUAUCCGGAAUUACUGGGUGUAAAGGGAGCGUAGGCGGCAUGGUAAGCCAGAUGUGAAAGCCUUGGGCUUAACCCGAGGAUUGCAUUUGGAACUAUCAAGCUAGAGUACAGGAGAGGAAAGCGGAAUUCCUAGUGUAGCGGUGAAAUGCGUAGAUAUUAGGAAGAACACCAGUGGCGAAGGCGGCUUUCUGGACUGAAACUGACGCUGAGGCUCGAAAAGCGUGGGGAGCAAACAGGAUUAGAUACCCUGGUAGUCCACGCCGUAAACGAUGAGUGCUAGGUGUCGGGGAGGAAUCCUCGGUGCCGCAGCUAACGCAAUAAGCACUCCACCUGGGGAGUACGACCGCAAGGUUGAAACUCAAAGGAAUUGACGGGGGCCCGCACAAGCGGUGGAGCAUGUGGUUUAAUUCGAAGCAACGCGAAGAACCUUACCAAGGCUUGACAUCCCGAUGACCGUCCUAGAGAUAGGACUUCUCUUCGGAGCAUCGGUGACAGGUGGUGCAUGGUUGUCGUCAGCUCGUGUCGUGAGAUGUUGGGUUAAGUCCCGCAACGAGCGCAACCCUUAUCUUCAGUAGCCAUCAUUCAGUUGGGCACUCUGGAGAGACUGCCGUGGAUAACACGGAGGAAGGUGGGGAUGACGUCAAAUCAUCAUGCCCCUUAUGUCUUGGGCUACACACGUGCUACAAUGGCUGGUAACAAAGUGACGCGAGACGGCGACGUUAAGCAAAUCACAAAAACCCAGUCCCAGUUCGGAUUGUAGUCUGCAACUCGACUACAUGAAGCUGGAAUCGCUAGUAAUCGCGAAUCAGCAUGUCGCGGUGAAUACGUUCCCGGGCCUUGUACACACCGCCCGUCACACCAUGGGAGUUGGAAGCACCCGAAGUCGGUGACCUAACCGUAAGGAAGGAGCCACCGAAGGUGAAGCCAGUGACCGGGG